CUCUUCCACUCGAUUUGUGACUGAUAACUUCAUUAAGCCCAAGAGUGUAAUAGUAAGAGAGACUGCUGCCUUAAAAGGUUCCUUGGCACUGUCUUUUCCAUGCAUGGAAGGACAUCUGGUAUGACCAUUGGAGAAGAAAGCAAGCAUGCUGUGCGCUGGGUGGCCUCAUCCCUACUGCCUUUGAACUGCUUGCUACAGGUUUUGGUGGCAAAACAGUAUCAGCUGAUGAUGAUAUGGCAUGACAUGGAUGCCCACUGGACACGGGCUGCAUCAGAUGGCUUAUUUCACGUGGUGUAUCAGUUAUGCUCCAGCUCUGGACUUACUGUUCUCCACGGAUUGAACACAGAGAGGAUUCAGACUCUAACACCAACAGAGCGUACCUUUUCUUGUCUCUGGAUGUCAGUCUGACAGCAGAAUAAGGAGUGCUAACGUGAUGUCACUGAGUUUGAACAGCAGCAAAGCUGAGACCCAAAGACAGAAAUAUGCAGUCUGUCUCAGGACGUGCUGAGACAUUCCCCUGCAGCUGUAUGAGCUAUCAGCUCAUCUCACUCUUUCACCAGAGACAACCUCUGAGAGGUAACUUUGCCUUCAGACUUCAGUCGUGUAUCGUCUGCUCUCAGCCAGUGUCAGAAGGCCCAGAGCUCUCUGCCUGUCUUCUGGGAGCAUCGAUCCACUCACCACAGCUCAGCACAACAUACGAAGCCUUUCCUUCCCUUGCACAUGUGUUCUCUCUCUCUUGAAGAAAAAAAGCAAAAAAAAAAAAAAGCAAAAAAAAAAAAAAGCUGUCAGUAUUUCAGAAGCUCUGAGCAGCAGAUCUUUGUGUACUUUAAUCCAUAAAUAAACAUUUCUUC